rnacentral:pre_miRNA from 11 species
GGGAAGGUUCUUUGGAGCAUGUUAAGUACACAUUAUCAGCCAAGAUACCCAUGAAAGAUCCCCCAGAGUGGGGAGACCCUCACUCAAGUCUCGGGAUAAGCCGACGCCCCAAUAAUUCAAGAGAGACC